rnacentral:rRNA from 1 species
UACGUAGGGUGCGAGCGUUAAUCGGAAUUACUGGGCGUAAAGCGUGCGUAGGCGGUUCGCUGUGUCCGAUGUGAAAGCCCCGGGCUUAACCUGGGAAUGGCAUUGGAAACUGGCGGGCUUGAGUGUGGCAGAGGGGGGUGGAAUUCCGCGUGUAGCAGUGAAAUGCGUAGAGAUGCGGAGGAACACCGAUGGCGAAGGCAGCCCCCUGGGCUAACACUGACGCUCAGGCACGAAAGCGUGGGGAGCAAACAGG